CAACGAUCUUCCCGCCUAGUAUUUUCUCAUCCACACUACACUGACAGCCAAGAAGUGGUUUACUCCAAGUCUGAAAGCGUUCAUUAUUGUAGGAGAAAAGUGAGCAUUAUGAGCCAUUAAUUACUUCUUUUUUUUUUUCUUCUUUUCGUCUGCUGCCAUUUUUAACUUGACUUCUUCCAUAGGAAGCGCUCCUAAUUUCUUCUUCUUUGCAUUCUUUACUUUUUCCUUGAUGGCUUCAAUAUCAAUUUUUUUCUCAGUGGAGGCCUUCUUUGCUUUCACAACUGGCUUUUCCUUUGGUGGGAUAAAAGCUUUAUUUCUUUCUUCUUGUCUUUUCUUGACUGCAUCAGCUUGCUUUGCCUUUAUCUCUUCCACUCGCUUUCGUUUCUUCUGGCUUUCUUUCAAGAAGUAUUCACCACUUGCCAAUUCUUUAUCGAUCUGGCUUUCUGGCUGUGGAGGUGGGAAUGGUGUGUACUCCUUCUUUAUGUUCUUCUUCUUUGGCUCCUUGCGUUUUUUCAAGUUCUUCCGCUUGAACUUAGGCAAAAAUCUUUCCCAGUUUUGUGUCCUCAGUUCGGGAUCUUUUGAUAAUUCACGUUUGAUCAUCAAAGUCUUAAUGUUAUAUAUGGGAUGUAUAUUCUUCAUUGUGUCCAGAACAACUUUCCUAACCUCUUUUAGCCCACUGAAAGGUCCAAGAGCUGAAACAGUGUUGCCUUGCACCAUAAUAUAACAGUUAGUUAACAGUUCCAGGGCCUUCAGAGUAGAUCCUUUUGGUCCAAGAAGUCGUCCUCUUCUUUUUACAAAACUUUCUCUGUUCCUCACUAGAGAACCUAUUUUAAUGAUGUCACAUGCAACAUCAUCCUGAAGAAUACGAACUGCCUGUUCAAAUGGAACACUUCUUGCCAGAAGUUUUAUUAAAUCUCUAGCCCUGAUGAUUGCAUACGGAUCAAAAGUCUUCUUAGUAGUAGUGACUGUCAUGCUUCCUUCAAUUAGAUCCAGCGUUGCAUUCACAUAAUGCUCACUCAGGGCUUUCUGGACAAGCGGCCAGCACUCCUUCAGGUAGGCUUCUCUGUACUUGGGGAAUAACGUUGCAAAACUGCUCUCUUCCAGCAGCCCUCUGGGAUUGUCUUCCCUGGUAAACGCCGGCUCCUUCCAUCCAUCCGGCACAGUGAGCAGUUCAGACUCAUCAACUGCUUUGACGGCUUUCUUCUUGCCGGGACGCCGCACAUUCCCCUCCACCGCC
rnacentral:lncRNA from 1 species